rnacentral:rRNA from 1 species
GGUCAAGCGAACAAGUGCAUGUGGUGGAUGCCUUGGCGAUCACAGGCGAUGAAGGACGCGGUAGCCUGCGAAAAGCUACGGGGAGCUGGCAAACAAGCUUUGAUCCGUAGAUGUCCGAAUGGGGAAACCCACUCCUUAUGGAGUAUCCAUGGCUGAAUACAUAGGCCAUGCGAAGCGAACGCGGUGAACUGAAACAUCUAAGUAACCGCAGGAAAAGAAAUCAACCGAGAUUCCCAAAGUAGUGGCGAGCGAAAUGGGAUGAGCCUUGCACUCUUUAUUUGUAUUGUUAGCCGAACGCUCUGGAAAGUGCGGCCAUAGCAGGUGAUAGCCCUGUAGGCGAAAACAGUAUGAAAGAACUAGGUGUGCGACAAGUAGGGCGGGACACGUGAAAUCCUGUCUGAAGAUGGG